GAGGGUAUAGCUCAGUCGUAGAGUGCACAUUUAGCAUGCAUGAGGUCCUGGGUUCAAUCCCCGGUAUCUCUA
rnacentral:tRNA from 1 species